UAGUCUCGCACAGAUGCAUAUCAAUAAGCGGAGGAAAAGAAACUAACAAGGAUUCCCUUAGUAACGGCGAGUGAAGCGGGAAGAGCUCAAAUUUGAAAUCUUCAAGGUUUUACCUUGACGAAUUGUAGUUUAAAGAAGUGUUUUCUGUUGAAGUUUUGGUAAAAGUUCUUUGGAAUAGGACAUCAUAGAGGGUGAGAAUCCCGUAUUUGACCAUUAUUUUCAGCUGUGUGAUACACUUUCAAAGAGUCGGAUUGUUUGGGAAUGCAGUCCAAAAUGGGUGGUAAAUUUCAUCUAAAGCUAAAUAUUGGCGAGAGACCGAUAGCGAACAAGUACCGUGAGGGAAAGAUGAAAAGAACUUUGAAAAGAGAGUUAAACAGUACGUGAAAUUGUCAAAAGGGAAGCGUUUGACACCAGUGUUGUUUUCUCGAAAAUCAAUUAAAAAGAGUUAGAUUUUGUUGUGUAUUGACCUUAACAGCUUGCAUUUCAAUUUUCUUGCUUUUUUUAAUGCACUUUUCGUUUAACAAGUCAACAUCAGUUUCUUUUGUUGUAAAAAGGUCAUUGGAAGGUGGCUUUCUUUUCGGAGAAAGUGUUUAUAGCCUUUGACUCCUGCAAUCGGAGAGACUGAGGUCUGCAGCGUAGAUCCUUCGGGGUUAGAUACAUUUGUGCUAAGUUAUAGCUUUUUAUAGACAACUUGUUGACUAUGAUUAGUCUUGUAGCUUACUCGCUUAUGCUAUUUUACCUACGCUUAGGAUGUUGAAGAUGUAGCACAUCAU
rnacentral:rRNA from 1 species